rnacentral:rRNA from 1 species
CCUACGGGUGACAGCAGUGAGGAAUAUUGGUCAAUGGGCGCGAGCCUGAACCAGCCAAGUAGCGUGAAGGAUGACUGCCCUACGGGUUGUAAACUUCUUUUAUAAAGGAAUAAAGUGAGGCACGUGUGCCUUUUUGUAUGUACUUUAUGAAUAAGGAUCGGCUCACUCCGUCGCAGCGGCCGCGGUAAUACGGAGGAUCCGAGCGUUAUCCGGAUUUAUUGGGUUUAAAGGGAGCGUAGAUGGGUUGUUAAGUCAGUUGUGAAAGUUUGCGGCUCAACCGUAAAAUUGCAAUUGAUACUGGCGGGCUUGAGUACAGUUGAGGUAGGCGGAAUUCGUGGUGUAGCGGUGAAAUGCUUAGAUAUCACGAAGAACUCCGAUUGCGAAGGCAGCUUACUAAACUGCCACUGACAUUGAUGCUCGAAAGUGUGGGUAGCAAACAGGAUUAGAUACCCUUGUAGUC